ACACUAGCCCCUUGCACCUCCAUGUACUCUCUCUCUCAACUCCAAAGUUUGACAUCCACUACUUAGCAUCGCCGCCGGAUAUAGAGACACACCGCUAAACAUUACCAGUUCCUACGAGACUGGCCUUUGUCUUGUCGGAAAACGCCCAAAACCAUCUCUUCUUCUCGUUGUUUCCAAAUUCCAACCUUCGACACCAGAAGUUUUCUCGCACUUCCAACAAAUAACGUUGCAAGAAGGUUGUCCAUUAUUACCAAUCUUUGUUUUUCUCUCCAAAAAAAAGUCUUUGUUGAGUGUACACGAUGACCAGAGAGUUGAUAAUCCAAAAGACUUGGGAGUCAGGCCCAGUGGAGGAGAGAGUUGCUUGGACUUGCUGAAGACUUUAGAAUGCGACAAGAAUUUGGAGAUACACUGCUAAACAUUACCAGUGCCAUAAGAAUUGCCCAUCACCAUCACCAUCUUUCUCUUUCUUUUUCUUUUUUGGGCUUGUUAAUUUUAUUCAUGAGUACUGCUCGUCUACUAAUUAUAUGUAGUUUUCCAAUUGGGUUAGUAUGUUUUUCUUGAAUUCUAAUAUACUUUAUUGGGGCUAGAUUCUUUUCUUUGAUAAAUUUUGACCACCAAGUUUGAGAAUUUGGUGUUUAUUUAUUUGGUCAAGUUGUUUUUAUGUUGGACACAUUCAAUUGCAACCAAAAAUAGAGGAAGGGAAUUUGCUAAAUUCAAUUGGGUAGGAUAGUUUACCUAGUUAUCUCUGUUUGAUUAAUUGCACAAAAUUUUGAUGGCUGAAUGCUUGAUUUAACCGUUUUGUUUGAUUUAAAUGAAUUAUUAGAGCAAUACAGCCUUUUCUUGGCAUCUUUUGUUCAUUUAUUUGAUACUAUAUUUGUUCGGUAUCUUGUUCACAUUAUUUACAAGAAAUACCCUUAAAGCAUGGCAACGUAGCAACCCCAAAGUCUCAAAUAGUUCGUAAUUACAACAAAAACUUAAAGUAUGGCAACAUAGCAACCCCAAAGUCUCAAAUAGUUUGUAUUUACCCAAAAAAAAAA